UACGUAGGGGGCGAGCGUUGUCCGGAAUUAUUGGGCGUAAAGCGCGUGUAGGCGGCCCGUUAAGUCGGCUGUGAAAUCCUGGGGCUCAACCCCAGAACUGCAGUCGAUACUGACGGGCUUGAGGUAGGUAGAGGAGAGUGGAAUUCCCGGUGUAGCGGUGGAAUGCGCAGAUAUCGGGAGGAACACCAAUGGCGAAGGCAGCUCUCUGGGCCUUACCUGACGCUGAGACGCGAAAGCAUGGGUAGCAAACAGG
rnacentral:ncRNA from 2 species